GGGAUGUAGCCUGGAAACUCCCCAGAGCUGAGCCAAGGGAUUUAAAGGGAGCAACCAAGGGAGGUGAAGAAACAAGGAAGGAGUAACUGAGGCAUCAGCCAAGCAGCACCAAGUUCCUGUGUAAACAGGAGGAAAUCUGGACAGCGGGAAGGAA